CGUGUGCAUGAUAUCAUACUUUAUAUUUGGGGGAUGUACUAGUCAUCCCAGGUCUUUUUCCCUGGUCAUGAGGGUUCAUCCACUGGGGCUCUUUCAGCAGGGAGAGCUGAACCCAUAUAGCCCGUGGGUGGUUUAGGAUAGCAAAGCUACACAACCCAGGUAAAGGUUUUAAUGGCAUGCUAAACCCGGUUACCUUUCCCGGCAUGGAUAUAUAUA
rnacentral:lncRNA from 1 species